CAGUAAUGGCAGGUAGAAUCUAUUGAUGACAUGGCAGUAAUGGCGGGUAGAAUCUAUUGAUGGCAGGUAGAAUCUAUUGAUGGCAGGUAGAAUCUAUUGAUUACAUGGCAGUAAUGGCAGGUAGAAUCUAUUGAUUACAUGGCAGUAAUGGCAGGUAGAAUCUAUUGAUGACAUGGCAGUAAUGGCAGGUAGAAUCUAUUGAUGACAUGGCAGGUAGAAUCUAUUGAUGACAUGGCAAAUCUAUUGAUGACAUGGCAGGUAGAAUCUAUUGAUGACAUGGCAGUAAUGGCGGGUAGAAUCUAUUGAUGGCAUGGCAGUAAUGGCAGGUAGAAUCUAUUGAUUACAUGGCAGUAAUGGCAGGUAGAAUCUAUUGAUGGCAGGUAGAAUCUAUUGAUGGCAGGUAGAAUAUAUUGAUGACAUGGCAG
ensembl:lncRNA